UGCGGUCAGUCUGUGGUCACUGGUCACUGUGCAGUCACUGGUCAGUGUGUGGUCACUGUGUGGUCUGUGGUCACUGUGUGGUCACUGUGUGGUCAGUGUGCGGUCAGUCUGUGGUCACUGGUCAGUGUGUGGUCACUGUGCAGUCACUGGUCAGUGUGUGGUCACUGUGUGGUCUGUGGUCACUGUGCGGUCAGUCCCCCCCCCCCCCCCCCCCAGUGUGUGGUCAGUGUGUAGUCACUGGUUACUGGUCAGUGUGUGGUCAGUGUGCAGUCAGUCUGUGGUCACUGGUCACUGA
rnacentral:lncRNA from 12 species